rnacentral:rRNA from 1 species
GGAUGACCUGUGGAUCGGAGUGAAAGGCUAAUCAAGCUCGGAGAUAGCUGGUUCUCCUCGAAAGCUAUUUAGGUAGCGCCUCAUGUAUCACUGUAGGGGGUAGAGCACUGUUUCGGCUAGGGGGUCAUCCCGACUUACCAAACCGAUGCAAACUCCGAAUACCUACAAGUGCCGAGCAUGGGAGACACACGGCGGGUGCUAACGUCCGUCGUGAAAAGGGAAACAACCCAGACCGUCAGCUAAGGUCCCAAAGUUAUGGUUAAGUGGGAAACGAUGUGGGAAGGCUUAGACAGCUAGGAGGUUGGCUUAGAAGCAGCCACCCUUUAAAGAAAGCGUAAUAGCUCACUAGUCGAGUCGGCCUGCGCGGAAGAUGUAACGGGGCUCAAACCAUACACCGAAGCUACGGGUAUCAUCUUCGGAUGAUGCGGUAGAGGAGCGUUCUGUAAGCCUGUGAAGGUGUGUUGAGAAGCAUGCUGGAGGUAUCAGAAGUGCGAAUGCUGACAUGAGUAACGAUAAAGCGGGUGAAAAGCCCGCUCGCCGGAAGACCAAGGGUUCCUGUCCAACGUUAAUCGGGGCAGGGUGAGUCGACCCCUAAGGCGAGGCCGAAAGGCGUAGUCGAUGGGAAACAGGUUAAUAUUCCUGUACUUCUGGUUAUUGCGAUGGAGGGACGGAGAAGGCUAGGCCAGCUUGGCGUUGGUUGUCCAAGUUUAAGGUGGUAGGCUGGAAUCUUAGGUAAAUCCGGGAUUCUAAGGCCGAGAGCUGAUGACGAGUUAUCUUUUAGAUGACGAAGUGGUUGAUGCCAUGCUUCCAAGAAAAGCUUCUAAGCUUCAGGUAACCAGGAACCGUACCCCAAACCGACACAGGUGGUUGGGUAGAGAAUACCAAGGCGCUUGAGAGAACUCGGGUGAAGGAACUAGGCAAAAUGGCACCGUAACUUCGGGAGAAGGUGCGCCGGUGAGGGUGAAGGACUUGCUCCGUAAGCUCAUGCCGGUCGAAGAUACCAGGCCGCUGCGACUGUUUAUUAAAAACACAGCACUCUGCAAACACGAAAGUGGACGUAUAGGGUGUGACGCCUGCCCG